GCUUAACGCAUGCAAGUCGAACGGAAACGAUACUAGCUUGCUAGUAGGCGUCGAGUGGCGGACGGGUGAGUAACGCGUAGGAAUCUGCCUGAUAGUGGGGGAUAGCCCGAAGAAAUUCGGAUUAAUACCGCAUAAUCUAUUCGUAGUAAAGUGGGGGACUUUCGAGCCUCACGCUAUCAGAUGAGCCUGCGUAAGAUUAGCUUGUUGGUAGGGUAAAAGCCUACCAAGGCGACGAUCUUUAGCUGGUCUGAGAGGAUGAUCAGCCACAUCGGGACUGAGACACGGCCCGAACUCCUACGGGAGGCAGCAGUGGGGAAUAUUGGACAAUGGGGGCAACCCUGAUCCAGCAAUACCGCGUGUGUGAAGAAGGCCUGAGGGUUGUAAAGCACUUUCAAUUGUGAAGAAAAGUUAGCGGUUAAUAACCGUUAGCCUUGACGUUAACUUUAGAAGAAGCACCGGCUAACUCCGUGCCAGCAGCCGCGGUAAUACGGAGGGUGCAAGCGUUAAUCGGAAUUACUGGGCGUAAAGCGUGCGUAGGCGGUUUAUUAAGUCAGAUGUGAAAGCCCCGGGCUUAACCUGGGAACUGCAUUUGAAACUGGUCAACUAGAGUAUGGUAGAGGGAAGUGGAAUUUCUGGUGUAGCGGUGAAAUGCGUAGAUAUCAGAAGGAACAUCAAUGGCGAAGGCAGCUUUCUGGACCAAUACUGACGCUGAGGUACGAAAGCGUGGGUAGCAAACAGGAUUAGAUACCCUGGUAGUCCACGCCGUAAACGAUGAUAACUAGCCGUUGGGGGGAUUUACCCUUUAGUGGCGAAGCUAACGCGUUAAGU
rnacentral:rRNA from 1 species